UUAGUUAGGGUGCAUGAGGUUCUUCAACUGCAGUUGUUUCUAGCAAUGAAAAGGAAUGUAUCUGUUUUGGUCAUGCUUCUGUAUAUUUUUGGCAAGUAUAAAUUCCACCCCGUUGUAAAGCUUAGGAAGAGGCUAACAAAAUCUGUGCGAAACGAGUUUAAUUGUCUUCAGAAGCUGUUUGUAUUUUGCUGUUUUAUAUGGAGCUGCAGUCAGUGCCAUGCUGGAACUCAAGAAAAGUAUACAUAAAAUAAUCAUCCUCUCCAUACUGAUGAGUUUUGGUUUAGAAUGUGCCAGGAGCAAUGUUGUGCUAUUCAAAAUCAACACUUCAGUUUGAGCUGUGCUCAGGUGCAUGUAUGCAAGUUUGUGCGUAGGGGGCAGGGAUUGAUGGAGUGAACAAAAUAUGCGCCAUCUGCACAUUGAACAGGAAAAAAGAAAAAGUAAGUCUCUCCAAUCCAUUUGAAGUUCUUACGUACCAUGCUGGAGAAAUACAACAAUAUUACUUUGUGGCUCCAAGGGUUGGUUGUUAGCUAGUUUCCCUAAUGCCUAUGAACUGCCACUUUCACAUUCUUAGCUUGGUUUCUGCAACAGCUGUGACUAAAAGCUCAUCUUAACAUUUAAGCCAGCUGAAGGUUGCUUUAUAUUUACUUAGAACCAGGACCAGAUGUUUUAGCAGGAUCUUAGGGUGUGU